GGGUAUUGGCAGUUGGUAUUUUGCCCCGGGAGGGUACCUACCAGCUGCCUGCAGUAGGAUGCUAUUUAUUUUUAACUGGACCAGCACCUCCAGCUACAGCAGUUCUCUCUGAUCCUGGUUUCCUCUGGUUCCCAGCCCUGUUCCCAGAGCAGGUCUCCCCAGUGCCUGCACAGUUUGCCCAGUCCUUACUUGUCUGCCUCUUCCCAGCCCUGAAUCAAUGCCAAGCCCUGACUGCGGUCCUCCGGCCACGGGUCGCCAAUCUCCCAAGGCUCCUUCCCGGCUUCUGCCAUCUCAGAUGUCUUUUGGCAAAGGUGAACAUCUAACGAUGUGCUCAUCUCAUGGACCAAAGGAAAUCCGGGCUUGAACUGACUGUCUGAAGAGUAACCCCGCUGUCACGGCCAGGAGGAUGCUGCCUUGCCUCGAGCUCAGCGAGGCACCAACAAGCCAGGCCAGUCAGAGGCUGGGACCAAAUCCCACCACAUCCACAUGGUGCUGGGGCCCCUCAGCCCCUCUGCCAUCCCAGAGGGGGUCUGCGAGACCCCUUGGAGCUGUCAGUGUGCCUUUGGAGCUUCGCAGGCAGAGCAGGGGCACCCGGGACUGAAGGAAAGUACAGGCUAAGGAAACCAGCCCCUUGCACUUGACACCAAAUAGAGAUCCCCUGCAUCAAAAUAAUGGAGGAAUUUUAUUCCCUGCCAAAACACUGCAUCCUUCCUUCUCCGCACGAGCUUCCUGCGUGCUGAUCUGUUGGCUCUGAACCACAGGGACCUGCCUUUGAAUCCAAUGUCUUGGAGGCUUGCUCUCUUAAGGAUGCCUGACCCUCUAAACCCCCCCAAGCUGGUGGGGCCCUCCCGAGAGCCGAGGCCGACCUACCCUUUCCUCAGCCCUCUUGAAGGGAAGAGCCCUCCCAAACCCCAGGGUGAUGCAGAGCCCCUCGCUCUCCCCAUCUCCGCUUCUUGCAUUCAUGCUGCUUCAAGCCAAGAUGCUGCCAGACACAAAUUGCAUCCCCCGACCCGUUGUUGGUACCAUGGCUCUGCAGGAGCCCAGCUGAGUUGUUCUGCGUGAUGGACAGUGCAGCAAAGUCCUUCACCAGCCCCACCAUCUCCAGCACAGCCCAGCGAUUGCCGGGAGCUUCGUUAUCCACCCUAAUUUGUAGCAGCCCAGGGGCACUGGAGGCACCGUGAGGACUGUGGCUUGCAGAAACUGAUGGAAAGAAGAGGAGGAGAAGCUGGGAGAGGACAUUUUUCAGCCAAAAGCUCACUCGUUACUAGAAGUCAGUGAUGUUCCCAGGGAGAAGUACAGCCCCGACCCGUGUCGUGUGCGCCUUUGCUCAGCUGCCCUGUCCUGCUCGGCGUUGGAGGAUGCUCCAGGAUGGUCCGUGCUGGGACACGAAGUGGGUGAGUCUCCUUAAACCUGCUGCCUGAGACCCCAGCAGGCGUGGGGAUGCUCGCCAUCGCUGCCCCGCGGUGUGCACAAGGAACUGGGUGCCCUCAACCCCAGGCCUCCCACUCCACUCUCUGCUGAGGCAUUGAGCUCACUGCCCAGCCCUGGCAGCGUUGGGCCCCCCUGGGAUGGGCUUUCCUGCAGGAUCCGGCUGAUGGCAGCUCCGCGGAUCAAGUGCCUACGGAGGGAAUCGCACGCUGUCGCCUCCGGCGUGGCUGCAAUGCCAUGGAGCCCACCCAAAACAUGUUGCCUUUUGCUCCCUCCCUGACAUGUAGCAGCCUUGCUGUGUUUCAGCAGGUUUCUGGUUUGUUGUUUGUGUGUCUGGGGGAGAGACGGGAGGGAAACUGGCCCGGGAACCACGAGCAUCCCUCUGUUCUCGGUGUCACCUCUCCGGGGUCCCCAGUGGGGAUGCUCGGCGGCGCUGCGGGUUUGCCGUCCGGGUGCCUCGGCGCAGUCGUGUUCUCUGUUGCAGAAGUGUUGUUGUCCCAGUAAAUCACAGCCUGCUUGAC